ensembl:lncRNA
GUUUAAUUAAAAAAUACUCUAGUUAAUCCCCUAGUUGCUGAUGAUUAAACCCACCAAAGAGGUGAUGAGGAAGUGGAAGCUACUGCUUAUUGAUCAGUGUAAUGGAUCUUUGUUCUAUUCGUAGAUGCAGAGCAUUCUGGAAACUCUAUCGGAUCUGUACCAGGCAGUAGCAUGGAACCUAGCAGCAUCGACAUACAUCACCUAUAGGACUGAACAAGAAAGGGGUCAGCAGAUGAAAUGUCACUACCUCAGAGACAGCAGCAUUAAUUAUCAGUGGCUGGUGUGCCAGGUAUUCCAGGGGUAUGGCCUUGAGGAGUAGCUUCUAGAAAGUGAUGCUAAAUGACUCUCAGCUCCUCAGGACUCCAGCCUUGGCAUCAGGACAACUGUCAGCGUUCUAACAGAGUUUGUCUUCUCGGCAUUGAUAUUAGCAAUGGGACUCUACCCAGGGUGCGAGUACAGGUAACAAAGCCUGAGAAAGUUUCUGGGAGCGGGCCAAGCCCCUCAGCAACACAGAGCUGAUCCCAUCUCUUCCUAUUCCUGAGUUAUGUUUCUCUCUGUACAUCUCCCUAACAAAUGAUUUGUCAAGAUUACUCCUUAGACCAUUUGUGAUAUGUAUCCUACAAAUUCUGUGUUGCUAUCUACUGCAAGUGAGUUUGCAGCCCUUUUAUGUCUGCAGGUAGCCUACACACUAUUGCUUAAUGAAACUGGGAGCACCUGACUUCAAAGGCAGAUGCUGCUGUGAAGAAGAAAUCAUGGCUGGGGGUUUGGAAAAAGUGGAAGGGUGAAUUUGGCAAGUAUCUUGCAUACAAGAGCAGUAGCUGCACUUGUUAUCAAUGCAGAUGUGAGUUGCUCUGCCCCCAGGAGUUGUAUCUUCUGCCACAAUAGAGUGGAGGGCCUUCAGUGUGCUCCAGGUCUUCCUUGCCCUAUUGUGUAAGGAGGAACAUUUUCAAAUGGUACUGCAGCCAGAACGUCACAGCGUGAAUCUUAAUGUGAUCAUGGUAAGGAUUUUGGAACAAGUUUUCCAUAUUGAAACAACCUAUUUAGUUGUUUUAAGAGCCAGGGAUAAUAGAAAUAUCCUCAGAGCUGGUCUGGGUAUGUGUACAAUUCAGAAGCAGUCGUAACACUGAUUUGUCUGCAGUGUAUAUUGCUGCAGUGUCCAGUGUUUUUGUCUAAGAACUUGUCUUCAUCAUAAGACACUGCAGAGUCUGUUAGAGCGCAAGGCAAAAUUUUGCAGGCUGCUGAGUGCAUUCUGCUUUCUGUAUGAGGGAAGCACCCUGACCAGUGUGAGUAGCUCUUCCUGUCCCUGUGUUGAACAAGCA